UACAUAGGUCUCAAGCGUUGUUCGGAUUCAUUGGGCGUAAAGGGUGUGUAGGCUGCGCCGCAAGUCGUGUGUGAAAUUUCGGAGCUUAACUCCGAAACUGCAUUCGAUACUGCGGUGCUUGAGGACUGGAGAGGAGACUGGAAUUCAUGGUGUAGCAGUGAAAUGCGUAGAGAUCAUGAGGAAGACCAGUGGCGAAGGCGGGUCUCUGGGCAGUUCCUGACACUGAGACACGAAGGCCAGGGGAGCAAACGGG
rnacentral:rRNA from 1 species